rnacentral:lncRNA from 1 species
AUCAAGUCUUGCUCAUUUUCUAAGCCCGUCAGUAUCUUUAUCUGGACUAUAGAAUGAGGUGAACUUCUAAGAGAAAGCCAAUUGUGUCAGAGGAAAAUGGCUCGCAGCCCCUCUCCCCGCAAAGAGAAAGCUCACUGGAGGAAUAAAGUGCCCCUCAGAUGAGGUCUACCUUCUUCUCUCAGAACUGUAACUGGGGAGCCAGUGCUGGCCCAGGCUUUGUCUCAGCUGUGGGUUCUUCCAUCUCCAGAGCUGACUGACCUGCGUUUCUCCUUAUUUGAACAGAUUUUUUUUCUCUUUUGUCUGAUUUUAUUGCUAUUAGUUGCUUCAUCUCUGAGAAAUCUUUUUGUAGAAGUGGCCUAUGAGCCAACAUACAUAUGAAAUUCAAGGUGGUUUGCUCAGGGCUUCAGUGUGUGACUUGUUCCUGCAGUGUCUGCGUGGUGUGAGUGUGUCAGUUCCCACCCACUGAGAGCAGGAGUGGAGGAGCGUUCUCCCCUCAUACACCGCGUGAAGGAAAGCUUACAGGCACUUGGAGCCUUACCAAGCGCUCACCCGCUAUCCCAGUGGGAAACAGUCCCAGGAGGCGGGUGUAGACUACUCACCCUGCUUCACUCUUACUCCGGAUCCACGGACACUGUGGGGAUGUGGCUGUGACCAUCUCACAGCAGCUAAUCACUCUGUACACUUGACUGGUUCUAACUCGUUCCUCCACUAUGCCGGGUGGGUACCACAGCUUCUCACACAGCGCAUUGGAAUUACCUGUUGCCUAAUUUACAGGGAUUAAAAUAGAACUUUAAAAUGAAUUCUAAGUGUGUGUGCUGAUGAAAUCCUUGAAAUAACCAUUAAGAGAAUCCAUUUCCCUUCUGCUAAUGGUGCACACUUGCAGGAUCACUAAAGAGCACCAUUUCAGCCCCUACUACUGAAGCAGGCAUCUUUCAACCGUUAGAACACUCUGACCUUGUCUACUCGGACAGAAGUUCCAAGUUCCCUAUUGCUGAAGCAGGCAGCUUUCAACUGUUAGAACCCUCUCACCUUGUCCACUCGGACAGAAGUUCCAAGUUAGGACAAACCGCUGUGUUACUGAGGUUGGCGUGUGUGAGGUGGUGCAUCGAAGCCUUGGGUCUCAGGACGCCGUGUGCUCUGUGUUACUGAGGUCAAGGUUGGUGUGUGAGGUGGUGUGUCAGCCUUGCUCUCACGAACCCUUGUGUGUUCUGUGCUUUGGCUGCAGCCCCACCACUUACGUUUUGGAUGAAGAUGAACCUCGGUUCCUUGAAGAAGUUGAUUACAGUGCAGAAAGCAAUGAUGAGUUAGAUGUUGAAUUAGCGGAGAACACAGGUGAUUAUGAGCCUUCUGCCCAAGAAGAAGCCCUUUCUGACUCUGAGGUAUCAAGAACACACCUGAUUUGAAAUUUCUGCCAUCUUUGUUAAUUGCCAAGAAGAAAUGAAAUGUCUUGGUUUUCAUUAUGUAGGAAGUUUGAGAGGGACAAGCAUUUAGACAGCUGACUCAAAGAAGACAAAAAGGAACUUGGGCCUAUUUGGUUUCAAGACAAUAAAUAUAUUAUUAAUUAAUGAUAUAAUUGGCAUUUGUUUUAUUUUAGAUAUUCAAUGUUCUUUAUAUAGCAUUGAAUUAUCAAAUGAUAGAUUUAC